CUGACCUCAAAUCAGGUAGGACUACCCGCUGAACUUAAGCAUAUCAAUAAGCGGAGGAAAAGAAACUAACAAGGAUUCCCCUAGUAACUGCGAGUGAAGCGGGA
rnacentral:rRNA from 1 species